UCGGCGCGACUCUCGCCUCUCGUCCCGCCUCCCAUCCCGCUCCGCAGCACCCUUCCCAUCCCGCUCCGCAACGCCGCCGCCGCGCCGGUCCGCGCCGUCCCGCUCCGCGUCGCGCUCCGGCUCACCCAUGCCGUCGCCGCCGCCGGAUCACCCACGCCGCCGCACCGGCCCGGUCCGCAUCGCCGCCGGCGGCCCAGUCCGCCCUGCCGCCCUCUCCGAUCUGCUCCACCAGUUCAAGCAAAGGCCACAUGACCGGCGGCGAUUUCCCGUCCUCUGCAACCAAGGUGUGCUCUUCCUCCGUCUCUCUCCCCACUCGCAAGCCCGGCACCUCCGUGCUUCCCGGCACACGCGCCGCCUCCCACGCCAGCUCGCCGUCCGCCUGCCCCGCCUUUCGCCGUCCGCUCUCAUCUUUGGAUGGAGGAUGCGGAUGAGAUCUCGGAUGCGGACAGGGAAGCGGUGGCCUCAUCCCUGGGCGCUGCGAACAGGGCAGCGAUGGCCUCAUCUCUGGGCGGAGGUCCAAUCCCUCGAUCGAAGUAGCUGGUUUUCUCCAAUCUGCGCCUAUCCCACCUCCGCACCCUCUCAAUCAUGGCCGCUUGCCCAGCCCAGUCUGUGCCCAUCUUACUCUCUCUCGGAUCCAUGACAUGAUAUUCGACUUUAAAUCGUGUGCGAGUGUACUCUGCCUGCACUUGGAGAUCGGUCGAUAGCAAGUCUGGAAAGUGGAUGCCAAUUGUUUGAAUAUGCUUAUCAUGGUUAGUUGCAUCCAAUUUGCUAUUCUAUUUUUACUCUCAGGGACUGCAGCGUUGCAUACCUGAAUAAGUUAAUUGGCUAAUUGAUUUACGUGGUAUGCCUGCUUCAGCUGUGCCUGCAACUUUCCUGCCUAACAGGAACAUCUAAUUCAGUUUUGAUUUUGGCCAGUCUGCUCUCUUAUGGACUUAAUGAAUGUUUUCCCUUUUUUCUACUAAUUCCAUGCAGGUUAUGCGAUUGAUCCAGUAGCAUCUUGAGGGUGUUAGUGAAAGAGUGAAUCUGAUGCUACUAGGAAAAAGCUUGAAGAAACAUUCUUGCUUGGGAAAUCCAAAAUGUUAUAACCGAAUCUAGCCAAGUGAUCUAUUAAAGCUGAUCAAACCAUCUGCAGUUGAAAUAUAAAAUUUCACAUUUACACAAUUAUGGGGAGUUUGGAUUAUUCGCUUAGAAUUUUAGAAUCAUUGUUUUGCUGGUGUGAGCUGACGUGCCUAUGUUUGGUGCUCAUCCAAAUACACAGGGGCAUAGUGAAAGCUUUUUAUUUCUGGCAAUCUCUAGCAUCAAUUGGAACACUCCCUUAGGUUGUAUUGAAUCGUGAUCUUUGUGAGUUGUGACAAGUCCACUUAUGCAAAUAGUUAGAUUGUAACAGAUCUUUGAACUGCUGGCAGAAAAUUGAGGUUACUAGAUGCUGUGACAGGUUAUAGUAGGUACAGUUUUUGGCCAAUAGUCUGUUGUUUUCGAUGUGACCUGCAUUAGCUAAUUUACUUUUAUGCUACCAUUGUUACAUUUCAGACUGCAGUUAAGUAUAUGUUAGUAAACUGAGCUGUUUUAUUGCUUAAUCAUUACACAAAUUUCCAGUUUUUUUUUCCCAUGGCUAUUUAGUUGACCUCAUUUCUGAAAUUGGGUACUUAAUAAGGAGGAGUUUGAGUGAGAAUUGAGGGCCAACACUACCCAGCAAGCAGACCUCACCUAGAGGCUCCAAUGUUGAAGCUAAGAGGGAUAUGUGGGGAACCUUCCCGGGGGUGUCAGCAAGUUAACUCUUGCUAACAUGUUCAACGAGCAAUGGGAGAUCCUGGAAGCGAGAUCCUGGAAGCGAGGUUCAUCUAUGACAAGGAGAGUUGGAUGUCAAAGGGGUUUGGUUUUGUCACAUAUGCCUCUGAUGAAGGAUUUGAGGAUGCGUCAUCGAAUCUUGAUAGCGCUGUUUUUUUGUGAGGUGUGAAGCUCCUGCUGGUUAGAGUUCUACACAUGGCAUUUGUUUGGUAAAGUGUUACUGUCUUCAGGAAACAACUGAACGGUUUGCAUACUAUGCCAUGGGCAGAAUGUCACAUGUUGUGUCGGUGAGUGUACUUUGACGCCUAACUCCAGUGUCCAAUUCCUUUCACUUUUCCUUGCAACUGGAAACUUUGCCUAAUCGCUGAUAUGGUCCAAUUGGUCCCCCACCUAUGAUUUUCUAGGACAAAAGGAAGGAACAAUAUGAAGUUCUUUAUCUGAAAGUUUCUUGUUUUGAUGUUUUGCAAAUCAUCUAUGAAAAAAAAAAGCAUUGCUAAAAUGCCCAUUUCUCUACUUAUCAUGGUUUAAUCUGUGUGCAAUUUGUUGGUUCCAUGUUGAAAUAGAGAUAUGCUUGUAUAAGAAAUUGGCCAAUGAAUUUAACUUAUUCAUAUUAUACUGUGAAACACUAGAGCUUUUGACAGAAUAAGAAAUGAGGCAGAAAGACUAUAGGAGAGUAGGAGAUUGCCACAACCACUGAGCUCAAGAGGUCGUCGACUUAUUCUGUUUUACCAUGGUCUCCACUGGCCUUGGAAAGCAGAGGACCAUUGAUGAUGGCAGUAGUGACUUUUUGUGAUGGCUGGCAAUCGAUACUUUCAGUCAAGGUUUUUUGGGGGAGUAAAAAAAUUGUACUUAGUUGUUCUGUUUCAUGUCAUUGUGAUGAGAGAUUGUAGUAGCUGGCUUCAGUGAGUAUGAUAAUUGGGUCUUCUUACUGGUUCCAAGAAAACUACGCUCUUGUUCUGUUGCGCUUCCGAGAUUUAUUAAAAGCUGCAAACAAUAGGUAAAACCUGAUCCAUCUUUGACCUUGCUGAUGUAUGUCACCAAUCUUACACUUCAGUGGUUCUGAAGUGAAGCAUUUGGUUUUUUUUAUGGCUUUCGCAGUUAAUUUUUGAAUAUCAUAUGAUAGUUAUUUUUCUUUUAACAUGUUAUCUGAAAUUAACAGGAGACAUGCUAGAAUGGCAUAAUCUUCACUUGGUGUUUAGAGAACCUUGUAAUCUCAUCUUCAGGUAUAUUUUGUACAGAAAAAUUUUGGGUUUACCUUCUUAAUUUGAUCUGAUGGAUUAUCAGGCUGCCAAGGCAUUCCGUCCCUUCUCCAUUUAAUAGGCCAUGUUGCUAUGUUUCAGAUUAUGAAAAUUGAUGCUUAUGGAGGGAAUUUGGGAUCACCAUUAGCAACGAACUGGCACAGGAAUACAGGAUGGCCGAGCAUCGAGGCAGAAGUUUGUGAUCAAUGUUUUGGCAUUUGCUGGAAAUGCAUAUCGAAAAAAUACUCCUUACAGUGUUUAGAAAUAUCAUAGCAGCAUCACAUGGAAAAAUAUUUGAAAGCGGGUUAUGUGGCAUUGGAUAUCCUGAUGUAGUUGAAUCUACCAAAUUUGAAAACUAUAAUAUAUUAUGUAUAUGAUUGUGUGUGGAUAUUAGUAAAGAUCAAAAUAUCAUAUGUUUUUUGUGCUAUAUUUAUUACUUUGAAAUUAAUUUUUAUCACCCGUAGCAACGCAAGGGCAUGAACCUAGUGCAAUUAAAAGUGCACAUCUCUUAUCUCCCGCUUGGUGGGAUUGGUUUACGGUCCACAAUUUACGGUCCAAAAACUACGGUGGCUUGGUGGGAUUGGUUUACGCAUGUAAAUCGCACUAUUGAUUGCUAUUUAUUGGUAGCAAAUAAAAUAGGCAUUAUUGCCAUAUUUAUUAUGGUCAUUUUGCUUUAUAAUUGGUGGAAAUUAAUUGUCUUAAUUUUGUUUACCCUAAUACUCUCCUCCCUCAUCAAAACUGUUACGCAAUAAUGCAUGGAUUUGAUCCCCACUUACCCAGCCCCACCUGAUGCUUCGUCAAGCUGUGAUGGGGGGCUGCCGCCACCUUCCUAGGAAUGGUAACACGGCCAUGGGUGUUGCGGCAGCUCUUUAUCCACUGGCAUCUAUGUCGACAAAUUCCCUAGGAGGCAUAUCAUGGUGUUUUCAGGAGAGCGCGCCAGGCAUCGAUACUCAUGGUGACCGCAAGCAACCGUUGUUGGGUGCCUGGAGGGCGGCGCAACGGUGCUUCGAUUUGAUGGGUUAUCGCGCAUCCAUGCGCCCCUCUCUGAUCCAAAUUAUAGAAAGAUCGACAACUGAUCUGUAUUCUAGAGUACAGAAGGAAUGACAUUCAUGGGAGUUUUACUUUUUGAGUGGCCAAAUUAGGCACUGCACUUUAGGUGUUCACCAGUCUAAUUCAGAAAGGAAUAUAGGGUGCACUAAUUUUGAAUUGCUUAUGGAAGCCAAUCGACGCUAAUUUGGAGAAUUGCAAGACAUAAAUAAUCUUGUAUACCUUUCAUUGGAGAAGCGGCAAGCUAGAAGGAUGCAGGGAUAGAAGGAUGCAGGGAUCGAUGCAUUCAUGGAUGUUUAUUCGCUUCUUUUUGUUCUUAGAAUGAGUGGUCAAAUU